CGAUUGGUACUGAUGCUGGCUCUUUACUGAGCAUGUGCUCGUUCCAUCUAUUUAUCUUCUCUUGUGCACAUCUUGUGGUCUUGAAUUGAAACCUCUCGCAUUCGUGCGGUCUGGGAGUCUGAAUAAACCCUGCUCCUGCUUCGUUCAAGAUCAUGUUUUCAUAUACACUAUAAAGUUACAGAAUGUCUUUUAACGAUUGCGCAAGCAGUCAUUAAACCUAUACAACUUUCAGCAACGGAUCUCUUGGCUCUCCUAUCGAUGAAGAACGCAGCGAAAUGCGAUAAGUAAUGUGAAUUGCAGAAUUCAGUGAAUCAUCGAAUCUUUGAACGCACCUUGCGCCCUUUGGUAUUCCGAAGGGCAUGCCUGUUUGAGUGUCAUUAAAUUCUCAACCUUGCUCGCUUUUACUAGCUUGAGUUUGGCUUGGAUGUGAGGGCUUUGCUGGCUUCCUUCAGUGGAUGGUCUGCUCCCUUUAAAUGCAUUAGUGGGAUCUCUUGUGGACCGUCACUUGGUGUGAUAAUUAUCUAUGCCUUGAGACUUUGAAGCAAACUAAUGGGAACCUGCUUACAACCGUCUUCGGACAAUCUCUGACAUUUGACCUCAAAUCAGGUAG
rnacentral:rRNA from 1 species